AUAAUAACCCCAUAGUCUAUGGAGACUGGAAUGUCAUAUAGAUAAAAGAUUCAUCGCCUUAGGAUGGGUCUGCGGCCGAUUAGGUAGUUGUUGGGGUAACGGCCCAACAAGCCAUUGAUCGGUACGGGUUGUGGGAGCAAGAGCCCGGAGAUGGAUUCUGAGACACGAAUCCAGGCCCUACGGGGCGCAGCAGGCGCGAAAACUUUACAAUGCGGGAAACCGUGAUAAGGGAACUCCGAGUGCCCGUAAACGCGGGCUGUCCAUCUGCUUAAAAAACAGGUGAAGAAAGGGCCGGGCAAGACCGGUGCCA
rnacentral:rRNA from 1 species